rnacentral:rRNA from 1 species
GUCGAGCGAAGCGCUCACGCGGAAUUUUUCGGAAGGAAGCGGGAGCGACUUAGCGGCGGACGGGUGAGUAACGCGUGGGUAACCUGCCCCAUACCGGGGGAUAACGGUUAGAAAUGACCGCUAAUACCGCUUAAGCGCACGAGGCCGCAUGGCCGCGCGCGAAAAACUCCGGUGGUAUGGGAUGGGCCCGCGUCUGAUUAGCUAGUUGGCGGGGUAAAGGCCCACCAAGGCGACCAUCAGUAGCCGUCCUGAGGGGGUGGCCGGCCUCUUUGGGACUGGGACUCGGCCCAAACUCCUACGGGAGGCAGCAGUGGGGUUUUUUGCGCAAUGGGGGAUACCCUGACGGGGGGGGGCGGAAAAAGUGAAGACGUAUCUCGGUCCGUCAAGCUCUAUCAGCGGGGAAGAAGGAAGACGGUACCCGACUAAGAAGCCCCGGCUAACUACGUGCCAGCAGCCGCGGUAAUACGUAGGGGGCGAGCGUUAUCCGGAUUUACUGGGUGUAAAGGGAGCGUAGACGGCGUCGCAAGUCUGAAGUGAAAGCCCGUGGCUCAACCGCGGAACCGCUUUGGAAACUGCGUGGCUGGAGUGCUGGAGAGGUAAGCGGAAUUCCUGGUGUAGCGGUGAAAUGCG